GUCCACUUGGUACGGGAGCGAGAGCCGCAGCCGGUAGUCGGGUUUCCUUGAGUCGAGGCACAGCAGCUUUCCCGUCACCUCCAGCGCCGCCUGCUCGGCCGAGCGCAACAGCGGCAGUUCGAUGGUGACCACCAGCUCAUGGGGGUCUUGGCAUUCCUGCGGUCCAGCUUCACGCCGAACUGCUUCUCGACGGCCUCCAGGGCCGUAGCGUCCAGCAUCUGGCUGAAGCCCUCGUGCCGCCGGGCCAGCGCUAGCGCGUCUGGAUGGAAGACCACGUCGUAGACCAUGUAUCGGCUGCUGCUGCGCCCCGCGUACUCACGGCCUGGCGCCAAACUGUAGGGCAGGGACCAGUGACUGCCAGGAGCUGCACCCGGGUCGUCAUCGGAGCUGGGCCGGCUGCUGGGCGCGCCCACCAGCGCAUUGCUGCAGACGUUCACGAAGCAGCGCCGUGUCCCGUCCAGGCUGGUGCGCAGCACGUGCCCCGGCUGCGGGUGCACGAACCGCACCUCCACCCCGCGCUCACGCUCUAGCGCGGUGAUCUCAGCCUCGUAGCGCCGCCGGUUCUCCGGGUCGGUGAGCUCCUCGGCGUACUGGGAGAACAUUCGCCGGAACUCCGGGUCCUGGAAGGCGGAGAUUCCUGUGCCAUGGUGCAGUUACUUACUUCUGCAGAGUAACUGUUGUAGUAACUGGCAUAAUUUCCAGCAUUACGUGCCUUAUCCCAUUCAUUGCUCACACCACUUAAAGAUAAAAACCUCAUCCCCGACUCUUGCCUGCCACCACUCUGCUCUUUCUUCGUCUUCUGCCAUGAUUGUGAGGCCUCCCCAGCCAUGUGGAACUAAAGCCUUCUGGAGAAUGUACUUGGAGCUCCUAAUAAGCUAUCUCGGGCCAAGGAAAAUGUCACAUUUCUUUGCUCUUGGCAGGAAUCCCAGCUCCUUGGCUUGGGAGCACCCUUUCUCCCAUGCUGAACAGAAACUUCAUUUGGCCAUUAUGUUCAUUGCCAAUUAAUAAAUUAUAGGAGAACAACAACAACAAAAAAAAAACCUCCUCAUCCCCCUUUCACAAACAAGAAGAUGGGACCUGAGAA